UGGGGAAUUUUGGACAAUGGGCGAAAGCCUGAUCCAGCAAUGCCGCGUGUGUGAAGAAGGCCUUCGGGUUGUAAAGCACUUUUGUCCGGAAAGAAAUCCUUGGCUCUAAUACAGUCGGGGGAUGACGGUACCGGAAGAAUAAGCACCGGCUAACUACGUGCCAGCAGCCGCGGUAAUACGUAGGGUGCAAGCGUUAAUCGGAAUUACUGGGCGUAAAGCGUGCGCAGGCGGUUUGCUAAGACCGAUGUGAAAUCCCCGGGCUCAACCUGGGAACUGCAUUGGUGACUGGCAGGCUAGAGUAUGGCAGAGGGGGGUAGAAUUCCACGUGUAGCAGUGAAAUGCGUAGAGAUGUGGAGGAAUACCGAUGGCGAAGGCAGCCCCCCUGGGCCAAUACUGACGCUCAUGCACGAAAAGCGUGGGGAGCAAAACAGGAUUAGAUACCCCUGGUAGUCCACGCCCUAAAACGAUGUCAACUAGUUGUUGGGGAUUCAUUUCCUUAGUAACGUAGCUAACGCGUGAAGUUGACCGCCUGGGGAGUACGGUCGC
rnacentral:rRNA from 1 species